AUGGCUGUGGAGGCGCCUCAGCCUGAACAAGCAGCGGGUGAAUCCGUGGAGCAGGGUGCGGCGGCGGGCGGCGGCAGACUGAAGAAGGGCCCGUGGACGCCGGAUGAGGACCAGCUGUUGGUGGAGCACGUACGGCGGCACGGGGAAGGGAGCUGGAACGCGGUGCGGCGGGAGACGGGGCUGCUGCGCUGCGGCAAGAGUUGCCGGCUCCGGUGGGCCAACCACCUUCGCCCCAACCUCAAGCGUGGCCCCUUCUCGCCGGAGGAGGAGCGCCUCAUCCUCCGCCUCCACGCGCUCAUCGGCAACAAGUGGGCGCGCAUCUCUGCACACCUGCCGGGGAGGACGGACAAUGAGAUCAAGAACUACUGGAACACGCGGUUGAAGCGGCGGAAGCGCGCCGGCAUGGCCCUGUACCCGCCGGAUGUCGAGCGGGAGGUGGCGCUCGUCCGCGCCGGCAAGCUGAGGCCCAUCGUCGACGCCGACGGCAACGCCAGCAGCCUCCAAGCACCGCUCCUCCUGGACGCGGCCGCGGACCAGUUCGCCUGGCCGGCUGCGCCGCCGUUCCACCCCGCCUACAACAACGUCGCUCCUCCGCAGCCUUUCCAAUUUACCGGCAACAUUAGCCACAACCCGCAGGCCCUCCUCGCAGCGCAAGUACCGUACCUCCACCACGACGAGGUUUCCGCCGGCCUCGGCCACGCCAACAAGCUUUACGCCGACGCACCGGGGAUGCCACCGUUGGUGCCCCCCGCUGUACAGGAGCUCCCUUCGAACCAAUCUCCCGCGGACGCCGGCGGGCCGCUCGAGAUGCUCGUCCUCGAGCAGGACCAGCGGCUGCCCGGCGCCGCCCUGCUCCGCGUUACGUCCAUGCCGGAGCUGGUCUACAACGAGAACGACUACUCCGCGUGGCCGUCCGGCCUCAGCGGUGGCAGUGGCAGCCGAUCCGAAGGCGACGUGACCUCGCAUUAUGGCGGGAAAUGCGACUGCUUCGAUGGCGUGAAGCCUGCGAAGAGGAUGGCCGCGAGCUUGGUGGUGGCAGAGGAGGAGGUGUCCGGCCUGUUCGGCGGCGAAGAUUUGGUGGAGGUGUGGCCUGACAAGCCGCCGGAGUCGAUCACGAAAGACGACUUCAACCUCCAGAUGGAGAUGCAGCACCUCAUGCCCCCCGUGCCGCUCUCGGCUGACGAACACGGCUUGAAUUAA
rnacentral:rRNA from 1 species